AUAGCUUUCACUUUUUCCCAGCAUUUGUUUUGAAAAUAUUUUUUCGAAAGACAAAUUUAUGCAAGGCGAGAAAAUAAUGAGUAAUGAAUGUGUAGUAAAAAAAUAUGAUUCUAAAGAUUACUGUGAGAUGAUUGUAUGUUUGAAAAAACAUCAACUUGCAAUAAAAUACAUUGACAUGUUAGAAUCUACAUUCAAAUAUGCGACAUUUCUCAUCUUGUGUUUGAACGUAAUUCUUCUGAGUUUAGUCGGAAUACAAUUGUAGGAUCGAUCACUCAUCUCUUGAGCAUGUGUUUACCGGGACAAUUACUUCUGGAUAAAAGUAUUGGAGUGUUCGA